AGCUGUGACGAUGAAGUGACGCAGUCAGCACGCUUGUUUUCAUUUUCCAUUUCAAUUUCUUGUUCCAUUUCGGCAGUAUUUUUUUCAAGUGAUUUUCCAUCAAGGAUUAGCUAUUUCAAUUUUUGGGAGCUAAACGAUAAACUUUUCUCAUUACGGCCUAACUAAGUCACGAUGGCUGAAGACGAGGAGGAGGGGUACCGCUGGGAGUCCGGAUAUGAAAAGACAUGGGAGGCCAUUCAGGAGGAUGAGGCGGGUCUCCUGGACAGCUCGGUCGCCGACCUGGUGGCGCGCGCUAAGCGGGCCCGCCUACACCGGGCGCGGCCGCACGUGCGCCUGGGCAUCAUGCGGCACCUGUACCUGGUGCUGGACGCCUCCGAGGCCAUGUUCGUGCAGGACCUGAAACCCACGCGGCUCAUUUGCUGCCUCAAGAUCCUGGAGGGUUACGUGCAGGAGUUUUUCGACCAGAACCCCAUCAGUCAGCUGGGAAUCAUCGUGACCAAAAACAAACGGGCUGAGGUGGUCUGUGAGCUCGGUGGGAACCCCAUCAAAGUCAUCGAGCACCUGCGCAAGCUAUCGUCUGCGCCAUGCGUGGGCGAGCCGAGUCUGAUGAACGCUCUGGAGCUGGCAGCCAGCUCCCUGCGCACCAUGCCGAGCCACGCGAGCCGGGAGGUGCUGGUCCUGAUGGCGAGUCUGACCACCUGUGACCCGGGGAACAUCAACGCCACCAUACAGUCGCUCUGUAAGGAGAAGAUCCGCUGCUCAGUGAUCGGCCUGGCCGCCGAGCUGCGCAUCACGCGCCACCUGGCGCAGGAGACGGGCGGAGAGUACGCCGUGUGUCUGGACGACUCGCACCUGCGCGACCUGACCAUGGCGCACGUGCAGCCACCGCCGGCCGUGGCCCAUAUGGAGGCCGCUCUGAUACGGAUCGGCUUCCCGUCGCACAAUACCAGCGCCGACAGUCCCGGCAAACUGUCCUACUGUAUGUGUCACCUGAACGGGCCGGCGCCGCCGGAGGGUCCGGACCGCGGCGGAUACCUGUGUCCGCAGUGCUACAGCAAACACUGCGAGCUGCCUGUGGACUGUGCCACCUGCGGCCUGACGCUGAUGUCGGCGCCGCACCUGGCGCGCAGCUACCACCACCUGUUCCCUCUGGAGCCGUUCGAGGAGGUGGAGCGGCCGCCCGGCGGACCCCCGCAGCACUGCGCCGCCUGCCGGGCGAGGAUUGAUACACAGAAGCUGAUAUCCAAGUGUGGAAAAUGCAGCGAACUGUACUGCGUCGAUUGCGACCUAUUCAUCCACGAAACUCUGCACGUGUGCCCGGGCUGCUCACGUGGCUCACACAGCACGUGACACGCGGCCCGGCACGUGGAGGUGGCUGUGACAUCACGCGGCUCCGGCUACGGCGGCGCGGCGCGGCGCGGCACACUGUGGCGCCCUCUGCACUCGUAUGGCUGCCAUCAGAAGUCGAAGGUUAUGCACUGGAAAAUAUUGCAGCUGAAGGAAAUUGGAGUUGGCGAGCCGGAUACAGCUUGCAAAGCAUCAACAGCUCGCUCACUUGCCAAUAUUUCGGUUGGAACGGGCUCGACCGUCUGCAGAUGGUGUGAAAAAUUCAUAAAUUCACCAUCCUGCAAUCAAUUUGAAUAUAUUUUCAUCUGCAUC
rnacentral:misc_RNA from 1 species